GAUGAACGCUAGCUACAGGCUUAACACAUGCAAGUCGAGGGGUAACGAGAGGAAAGCUUGCUUUCCUUGUCGACGACCGGCGCACGGGUGAGUAACGCGUAUCCAACCUGCCCCCAACUAGGGAAUAACCUUGCGAAAGUAAGACUAAUACCCUAUAAUUUCCUCAGAUGACAUCAGAUUAGGAAUAAAGAUUUAUCGGUUAUAGAUGGGGAUGCGUCUGAUUAGCUUGUUGGCGGGGUAACGGCCCACCAAGGCAACGAUCAGUAGGGGUUCUGAGAGGAAGGUCCCCCACAUUGGAACUGAGACACGGUCCAAACUCCUACGGGAGGCAGCAGUGAGGAAUAUUGGUCAAUGGGCGAAAGCCUGAACCAGCCAAGUAGCGUGCAGGAUGACGGCCCUAUGGGUUGUAAACUGCUUUUAUACAGGAAUAAAGUUAGCCACGUGUGGUUAUUUGUAGGUACUGUAUGAAUAAGGACCGGCUAAUUCCGUGCCAGCAGCCGCGGUAA
rnacentral:rRNA from 1 species